UCUGUUUGUUUUGUUCACACAUCGUUGUCAAUGUAAUGGAAUUUGAUGCGACUAACAUACAAGUGAAAGGUUUAGCUCUUUAAACAAGGUUUAAUCCACCAUUUUCUACGUAGUAAAAUUAAUGUACCAAGUCAGGAAUAACCCAGUUGUUAUCCUUUCGUUCGAUGUGUUUGAGCUUUUGAUUUUGCCAUUUGAUAAAAGGACUUUCCGUUUUGAAUUUUCCUCGGAGUUCAGUAUUUUUUUUUAUUUUACUUUUUUAAAUCUUUGAAGGGCAAAUCAAACAAAGUUGUUAACAAAAAAAGCUUGAAAACCGAAACUACAAAUGUUGUGCGAAAUACAGCUAUAACAAUAUUUACCUUUGAAUAAAAAAUCCUUAUUUUUUGUUCGAUAAAAUAAUCAAAUACUAAACGGAAACCAACUUUUGGGCGUACUGACAGAAGGACAGUGGUUAAAACUUAAUGACUCCUCCGAUUCAGAUUUUGUAAAUUGUAUAACUAAUGGGAAUGUUACCAUCAUUGUCAAGUACUUUAUCAUAAGGUAAGACUUCACGUCUUUCACAACCAAGACCUUUUCAUUUCAAAACCCCUUAAAGCAAAAUAAACUCUUAUAAUCAGAAACCUAAACAGAUAUGAAAAACAACAC
rnacentral:lncRNA from 1 species